rnacentral:lncRNA from 1 species
GGAUUAACCGAUUUUGGCCAAUUUUUGGGUGAUUUUGACCAUAUCCCUGCAGAAAAACACAUCAGGGGCCUCGGUUAGCUGGGAAACCACAAAAUACUGAACUUACUGGUGGGGAAGACCUCCGGGUGUGGCGGCUUCGCCGAUUCUCCUUCGUGGCUGAGGUUAUUUCUUUGGCCAAUCUACACAGAAAAGGACGAUGAACACAAUGAUCGAAAAAUUAUGUAAAACGAAA